GCAUAGCUUAAUAAAAGCAUAACACUGAAGCUGUUAAGAUGAACCCUAAAAAGUUCUGCAGGCA
rnacentral:tRNA from 1 species